GACUAGUGCGGACGUGGAAAGAUCGGCUCCCGCUUCCGUAAAUAUUUUCGGUCUGUGUCACCUACCGCGGAAAUGCACGCCAUUCGACACGGUUUCUUCUGAGGACUUCCUUCAGUGAGUGGCCUUUGCGCGGAAACUGUGGAACUUUCUGUGUAGACCACGCCGCGGCGACGCUAGGCGCGGGUAGGCUUAGGCCUAACUCGAAGAAGAGGGGCAUAAUGCCCGAAGUAGAAAUGGUGGUAGGAGAGGAAAUCUCCUCCGAAGAAGCGAACAGCCCAGGCUGGACGAUAGCGUUGGGCAAGAACAAGAAAGCCCUGCAAGAAGCGCCAGUUUCAACGAGAAAGAAAACCCACAUGGGCUCGAAGGGUGGCUGCCGCACGGCUGCUCUGCAAGGCGUGUUGCAACGUCUCGCAGCCUCGUCGAGGCUCCCCAGACUACCUAGCGAGCACAUACGAAUUAUUGUCCGCCCAAGGGGCGGGCUGGACGUCAAGAAGAUAAGCCAAAUCAAGCUGGCUCAAUGCCCCCACAGAAACUGGGCCUCUUCGAUUUUCGGAGUUCUGGCAGCCCGCUGGCAGCCAGACGGCAGCCAGCUAGUUCCGGUUCUGAGAGGAAAUUGCGUCAUUGUCAGGCGGACUGAAAUUUGAAGGCGAGCCUCAGUUCGCAAAAUCGAAUGCCGCGGAAGGAGCGCCGGCGUCGUCUGCUCGCUUGCGCGUUCUCCGCGUGUAAACAUGAUUGCCGAAGAACUCCUCCGAGUGGCUACAUCGCUGUUCAGCCUGCUUUUCGCUAGAUCAUCCCGUAAUAACAACGCCGACGAAGAUUUCAUCGGUGAUGAGUUCGCAUUAGUUCUCCACUUAACGAAGCUGCAAAGACAGGAUCGGCACAGGGUGCCUUUGUACGUUGAAAGUGUCGUGCCAAUGUACCUGGAAUUUGAGUUUAAGAAGUUGUCCCGGCUCUCAAGAAGCACGUGUGGAGCCCUGGUCGAGGAGUUCGAGGCGUCGAGCAACUACCCAGAAGGUACCCGAGGACGUCCCCGAAUUUCGGCCGAGAAAACGGUUCUUAUUGCGCUAACGUACAUAGGCACGCAACAAACUACGUAUCACAUUGCCGACAAGUUCGAUGUCAGCGAAUCAACCGUCCACGCUGCACUUAACCGUGUCCUGGAUUUCAUCUUCUCCAUAAGUGCGAGAGAAGUCUGCUGGCCUGACCGCGCGACGAAAAGGAGCGGAGCAAGCGGGUGUUCUUGGGGUUGGUUCGUCGCAGGUCGGGACUCCCGGACGUUAUCGGUGCCAUCGAUGGAUGUCACGUCCGCAUUUCUAGGCCGUCGGAGUCUGAGCAAAGGUAUUACAACAGGAAGAAAUUGCACUCGAUCAUUCUUCAGGGGGCCUGCAAUGCAGAUAUGCUGUUCAUCGAUGUGUUCAUCGGAAUUCCCGGGAGCGCCCACGAUGCUCGUGUUCUCCGGGACAGCUUCGUGUACGAAGAAGCACCGGCCAAUUGCGAAGGAGGCUAUCUGUUGGGGGACGCUGCAUAUCCUUUGACGACGCGGUUGCUGCCACCCUACCGCCAGACUACGGCGAACUGGCAGCCAUGGAUGAGUGCCUUCAACUAUACGCGCACACCUGUGUGCUGCACAACAAGGCUCGACGAUGCGGGGACGUCGUGGAGGACCUCGAGGCGAGCGACAGGGGUACCGACGUCUCGUCUGCUGAACCCCCCGAAGGCGAUGACGCACCAGCGCUGUCGGCAGCAGCCUUCCGCGACAGCAUCGCCCAGAGCCUCUAAAUCACGACCUACUGUAUAAGGAAAUGGCAGGAACGUACUGGUGCCGUACCUUCAACUGAGGCAUAUGCAGUUUCCCCGAGCUGUGGGACGAUGGCCUCGGCGACGGACCUCCCGAGGUCCUCCGAGCUGUGAUACAAGGGGCUCGAAACAUCGCCGGAAUCAUCUUAUGGACCCUGGACUGAGGGUUCCUCCCACACUGCUCUCGACAUUCAAAUAUUAUUAAUAAAGCUGGUUUACUCUCUCUCCAA